AGAAAUGCAAAUGGACUGCAUAAAAUACCCAUGGCCCAAUCUUUGAAAUCCUAAUCUGUAAAAACAACUCUGGCCUAAGGAAAACAAACCUCAAGAAGGAUGAGCGGCGCAUCCAGAAGAAAGAAAACGGCGGUCAAAACAAGCAAGGUUCGAAUCCUAUCCUUUCUAACCUUCUAAUACUUCCCAAUCAAAUUUAUAACAAUAAUAACUUUCAUUAGUAGGAAAUAUAAAUGAAAAAAAAUGAAAAUACCAUAACCCUUCUUCUAGUUGUUCCUCUGUAUAAUAUGUUUGUACUUGGAAAUGUUGUGAAUGCAGAAAUUAACUAGUUUCUAAUAUGUUUGUACUUGGAAAUGUUGUGAAUGCAGAUAAUAUAAAGCAAGUUGUGACAGGAUGCUGGAAGUUAUGACAGGAUGUUGGGAAUGCAAAUAAUAUAAAAGAGGGUUCGUAAUAGGUUUUUCACAUAAAGGAAGAUGGAGUCUUGUGAUAUUUGCCUUGAGUGUUGGCAUGGCAAUGUAUUGUCAUGUUUUGAUGUGUGGCAUGCCAAAUAAGAAACAAUUGUAUUGAUAUGUGGCAGGCCCAAAUAAGAAAUAAUUGUAUUGAUGUGUGGCAUGUCCAAAUAAUAAAUACUGAUUUGGUGUAAUUGGAAUUCCUUAUUAUUUGGCUUAAAAUUAUUUUAUUUUUUUUUUGUAAAA
rnacentral:lncRNA from 1 species